rnacentral:rRNA from 1 species
AUGUGUGUUCCAAAAAAUAAUGGUGGCAUGGGUUUCCGGGAUAUAAACAGUUUCAAUUUGGCUAUGCUUGCAAAACAGUGCUGGAGGUUGAUUGACCAGUAUGACUCUCUAUGUGCCAAGGUCCUUAGAACAAACUAUUAUCCUAGUGGAGACAUUCUUAAUUGUGAUUUGAAGAAGGGUUCCUCAUAUGUAUGGCAGAGUAUUUGGGCAGGAAUCCAAACCUUCAAGAAAGGUUGUAUCUAG